rnacentral:lncRNA from 1 species
UUUUGAGAUUUCUCAGAGGGCCCAUAGGAAUCACAAAAAUGCUUUGGAUUAAAAGGGAUUUUAAGACAUUACUCUCUGAAUUUAUUACGUGGUCUUGGCAUGGCGUACUGGGUAGAAUACUACACCCACCCUGAAGAGAUGGACACGUCCGCACCACCAGAUGUUGUGACUCUGUUACCCUAUAUGGCAAAAGGGACUUUGCAAAUAUGAUUAAGUUAGGGAUCUUGAGUUGGGAAGAUUAUCCUGGACUAUGGGAGUGGGCCCGAUGUCGUCACAAAGUUUAUCAAAGGAAGAGAGGGAGCAAGGGAGUCAGAGACAGACGCAGAGAAAUGCUGAUGGAAGCAGAGUAUGGAGUGAUGCAGGACGAUGAGCCAAGCGAUUCGAGCAGCUCCUAAAAGCCGGAAAAGGCAAGGACGUGACUUCUUCGCUGGAACCUCCAGAAGGCAAACAGUGCUCCUGACACCUUGAUUUUAGCCCAGUGAGAUCCCCUUUGGACUUCUGACCUCCAGAACUGUAAGAGGAUGAAUUCGUGUCGUGUUAAGCCACAUAGUUUGUGGUGAUUUCUUACUGCAGCAACAGGGAAUCAGACAGACUGGAAAAUCUAAAGAACCAGCAUAAAUCUAAAGAACUUGAUCACUUGUCAAGAGAUGAGCACGGGAGUCGGAGACCAAUGAAUGGAUGUAGCUUAACUUCCUAUUAGUCAGAAUUGCAGUUCAAUAUUUUAAAUAAACAUACACGGUAACAUAAUUGUCUUAGCUGUUUCAGAAGUGAGGAACUUUGGUUGUUUGUUUUUGAACAAUCAGGGUCAUAACAGUCAGUGCGAAGCACAGAGAGAUACGGAAUCCCUGUUAUUUAGGGAUAAAGACUGAAUAUUGCAACCCAUUUGUCAUAGAACAGAAAGAAAUCCACAAUAGAUUUGCUUAAAUAUGCCAUUUGACAGCGAAGGACUCACAAAACAUUUU